UGUGUCAAUUUUCAACGUACUGUAAUAAAAGAAAUCGCACCCUGAACAUUGUGUUCUCAAUUGUUACUGUACAGUAUCUAUUGUGUGUAAUGGAUCCUCCAUGGAGUUUAGUACUCAUUUUUGCAUUGAGUUGUGAUAUUACUGCAUUUUCUGCAUUAUGUAACUAUUCCCAUGAAAUGCACAAAUCUAUAGAAAAUGCCCAAAACAUAUUUGAGAAUAAAUAAGGGUUGCUCAAAUGCAUCCUGGCAGUUGUGAAACUGUAAAAAGAACAGUCUCACACUGUGAAAAUUGUGCUUUCAAUUUUUUUGGUAAUGUGGUUAAUGAUGCUCAGUAGUGUUUACAUUUUUGCAGGCCUUGAGUGGUAUUUUGGUGUCAGAGUUUGCUUUUGAGCAUAUGAGCAACUGUUUUGGUGUGAUGGGUUUGCUUUUGAGCAUAUGAGCAACUGUUUUGGUGUGAUGGGUUUGCUUUUGAGCAUAUGAGCAACUGUUUUGGUGUGAUGGGUUGGUUUUGAAAAGAAACUGUGAGGUUUAGUGUACGUAGCUUUAGAAAAGUGUUUUGUGUUUAGAGUUUUGUGAAAAGUGAGGGCAGUAUCGUGAAAUGUGUUUAAGCAAUAGAGAAAAACUGUAACAAGAUAAUUACCAAAG